rnacentral:rRNA from 1 species
CAGCAGCCGCGGUAAUGCGAGGGGGGCAAGCGUUGUUCGGAAUUAUUGGGCGCAAAGGGUGCGUAGGCGGUUUGGUAAGUCUCGUGUGAAAUCUAUGGGCUCAACCCAUAGUCUGCACGAGAAACUGCCGGGCUUGAGUAUUGGAAAGGUGAGUGGAAUUCCGGGUGUAGCGGUGAAAUUCGUAGAUAUUCGGAAGAACACCAGUGGCGAAGGCGACUCGCUGGACAAGUAUUGGCGCUGAGGUGCGAAAGCGUGGGGAGCAAACAGGAUUAGAUACCCCUGUAGUCCUGUCUCUUAUACA